GCUUACACAUGCAAGUCGAACGCGAAAGUUUUCUUUCGGGAAAUGAGUAGAGUGGCGCACGGGUGAGUAACGCGUAAGUAAUCUACCCUGGUAUUUGGGAUAACCCACCGAAAGGUGUGCUAAUACCGAAUACGCUGAUUUAUCAGGAAAGGUGGCCUCUUCAUGAAAGCUACUGUACCAGGAGGAGCUUGCGUACCAUUAGCUAGUUGGUAGGGUAAAGGCCUACCAAGGCGACGAUGGUUAGCGGGUCUGAGAGGAUGAUCCGCCACACUGGAACUGAAACACGGACCAGACUCCUACGGGAGGCAGCAGUGAGGAAUAUUGCGCAAUGGGGGAAACCCUGACGCAGCGACGCCGCGUGGAUGAUGAAGGCUUUCGGGUCGUAAAAUCCUGUCAGAUGGGAAGAAGUGUAUAUCUGCUAAUACCAGGUAUAUUUGACGGUACCAUCAAAGGAAGCACCGGCUAACUCCGUGCCAGCAGCCGCGGUAAUACGGAGGGUGCAAGCGUUGUUCGGAAUUACUGGGCGUAAAGCGCGCGUAGGCGGCUUUUUAAGUCAGAUGUGAAAGUCCACGGCUCAACCGUGGAAGUGCAUUUGAAACUGGGGAGCUUGAGUAUUGGAGGGGGUGGUGGAAUUCCCGGUGUAGAGGUGAAAUUCGUAGAUAUCGGGAGGAAUACCGGUGGCGAAGGCGACCACCUGGCCAAAUACUGACGCUGAGGUGCGAAAGCGUGGGGAGCAACCAGGAUUAGAUACCCUGGUAGUCCACGCCGUAAACGAUGUGAACUAGGUGUUGGGAUGGUUAAUCGUCUCAUUGCCGCAGCUAACGCAUUAAGUUCACCGCCUGGGGAGUACGGUCGCAAGAUUAAAACUCAAAGAAAUUGACGGGGGCCCGCACAAGCGGUGGAGUAUGUGGUUUAAUUCGACGCAACGCGCAGAACCUUACCUGGUCUUGACAUCCCGGGAAUCUUUAGGAACUAGAGAGUGCCU
rnacentral:rRNA from 1 species